UACGUAGGUGGCAAGCGUUGUCCGGAAUUAUUGGGCGUAAAGCGCGCGCAGGCGGUCCUUUUAAGUCUGAUGUGAAAAGCCCCACGGCUCAACCGUGGAGGGUCAUUGGAAACUGGGGGGACUUGAGUGCAGGAGAGAAGAGUGGAAUUCCACGUGUAGCGGUGAAAUGCGUAGAGAUGUGGAGGAACACCAGUGGCGAAGGCGACUCUUUGGCCUGUAACUGACGCUGAGGCGCGAAAGCGUGGGGGAGCAAACAGG
rnacentral:rRNA from 1 species